UGGGGAAUAUUGCACAAUGGGCGCAAGCCUGAUGCAGCCAUGCCGCGUGUAUGAAGAAGGCCUUCGGGUUGUAAAGUACUUUCAGUCGGGAGGAAGGUGGUAAGGUUAAUAACCUUAUCAAUUGACGUUACCGACAGAAGAAGCACCGGCUAACUCCGUGCCAGCAGCCGCGGUAAUACGGAGGGUGCAAGCGUUAAUCGGAAUUACUGGGCGUAAAGCGCACGCAGGCGGUUGAUUGAGUCAGAUGUGAAAUCCCCGGGCUCAACCUGGGAACUGCAUCUGAUACUGGCAAGCUUGAGUCUCGUAGAGGGGGGUAGAAUUCCAGGUGUAGCGGUGAAAUGCGUAGAGAUGUGGAGGAAUACCGGUGGCGAAGGCGGCCCCCUGGACAAAGACUGACGCUCAGGUGCGAAAGCGUGGGGAGCAAACAGG
rnacentral:rRNA from 1 species